rnacentral:rRNA from 1 species
AGAGUUUGACCCUGGCUCAGGAUGAACGCUAGCUACAGGCUUAACACAUGCAAGUCGAGGGGAAACGACAUCGAAAGCUUGCUUUUGAUGGGCGUCGACCGGCGCACGGGUGAGUAACGCGUAUCCAACCUGCCCAUCACUUGGGGAUAACCUUGCGAAGUAAGACUAAUACCAUGAUAUCUCUAGAAGACAUCUGAAAGAGAUUAAAGAUUUAUCGGUGAUGGAUGGGGAUGCGUCUGAUUAGCUUGGUUGGCGGGUAACGGCCACAAGGCUACGAUCAGGUGGGUUCUGAGAGGAACGGUCCCCACAUUGGAACUGAGACACGGUCCAAACUCCGUACGGGAGGCAA